UUGGCAUCCCCAUUCAAUGUUCAGUGACGAACCAGGUCAGGUCGGGAACGAAGCAGCCUUAAGUUUUCUGUGCAUGUGGGUGGGGAUGCCAAACA
rnacentral:SRP_RNA from 1 species